AUCGUACGGGAGGCAGCAGUGGGGAAUAUUGCACAAUGGGGAAACCCUGAUGCAGCAACGCCGCGUGAACGAUGAAGGCCUUUGGGUCGUAAAGUUCUGUUCUAGGUGAUGAAAACUGACAGUAACCUAGGAGAAAGCCCCGGCUAACUCCGUGCCAGCAGCCGCGGUAAUCGAU
rnacentral:rRNA from 1 species